rnacentral:lncRNA from 1 species
AGGGGUUCAAAAUUUUUAAUUUCAAAUUGCAUUCUCCUCUCUCCGAAAAGAAAAGCCCUUCUCUCUUCCCUGUUCUCUCUCUUUCAUUCUCUGAAACCCUAAAUCGAUAGCCACUCCCCUCCCCACUCAACCCUGAAGUUUGAUUCACACAUAUCCGUUUUCAAGUUCAGUUCGCAUAUGGGAACAAAGUGAUGUCUCGGUUUGAAAGAGUUGAUUAUGGUCAUUGGCUUCAACACCAACGAGGAAUAUUAAUGAAUUAACUAUGUGUGUUAGGUCCGAUGUUUCUAUUACUCUGUUCUUCACGUACAAUAUGGCCCUUGAACCACCUUUGGAGAAAUAUGAUAGGAAGCAGGGUCGAGUCAUCUCACACUCACACACAUUUAAAUAGACUAUAUAGUUUUGUAAAAGAACAAGAAUAAGGAAAGCCAAAGAAGACGGAAUAUUGGGGACUCUAUUUGAUUGUCUUUUAUCACAACAGACCCAGACAAAAUAUGUCAUUGCAGGCAGUUGUUUUGCGUUGGAUGAUUGGCGGCUUCGGCAGCCUCCUUGAAACAUACUCAAUCACAUUUUUUUAUAAUCUUUAUGGGGGACGCAGACAACACUUUUCCACCUACCAAAAAACGAGCUGCUGGUAGAGAAUUGUCUCGGGAUAACCCGGGUCUUGACGAUGAAGAAGAGGUUCCGGGGGAAGAAACCGAAACGGAUACACAUUCAAAAGGGCGAGUGAUGAAGUGCUGGCAAAUAGAAGAAUAGUCAAAGUCAAACGUGGUCAAACAUCAUAAACCCCCUCUGCAUCUUCUAAUCCUUUCGCCGCCAUUCGUUUGGUACCCCCUGCAUCUUCUAAUCCUUUCGCAGACAACACAACCCGUUUUAAAAAAACGUGUCGGGUUCGGGUUGACCCGUAUUGAAAACAGGUCCGGGUUUGGGUUGACCCAUUUAACUAUUUAGAAAAAAAGGUUUUAUAUUUUUGUUUUUUCCGUUACAUGUUUAUAUUAUGCUUUGCAGGGGAGUUUGCAUGUUAUUCUAAGAAAUCAUAUAAAAAAAUUAUUUUGUAAAUUUAAUUUUUUUUUAACACAACCCAUAACCCGUGAAGAUCACGGGUAUA